GGCUCAAUGGUCUAGUAGCAUGAUACGCGCUUCGGGUGUUCCCAGUCAUCUGGAUGACUUACAUGUGCGUGGUCCCGGGUUCAAUUCCCGGUUGAGCCC